rnacentral:rRNA from 1 species
AUUUUAAAAUUUAUUUAAUUAAUAUAUAUAUAUAUAUAUAUAUAUAUAUAUAUAUAUAUAUAAUUUUAUUAAAUAAUUAGUAUUUUUAUUAGAUUAAGAAAAAUUUUAUUUUAUGAUAGAUUAAUAGUACUGAAAAGGAAAAUUAUAUAAAUUUAUAAAAGAAACAAUAUUGUGUACCUUGUGUAUCAGGGUUUAUUAAAAAUUUAAUAUUUAUAUAUUUAUCUCGAAUUUAAAAGAGCUAUAUAGUUAUAAAUAUUAUUGUUUAAUAAAUAUUUAUAAUAAUUAUAUAGUAAUGAAAUGUUAUUCGUUUUUAAAUAUAUCUAGUUUUUUAAGAAAAGAAUUUAAUUCAUUAUAAAAAUUAUAAAAAUUUAAUUUUUAAUUUUUUGAAUUUUUAUUUUAAUAGUUUUAGGGAUAAGCUUGAAAUUAAAUUAUUAUAAUUAAAUAUUAUAAAUUAAUAAUUUAUAGAAUUAGAAAUUUUUACUAUUUGAAGUUUGUUAAAAUUUGUUAUUUAAUUAAAAAUAUUUAUAUAUUAAUUUAAUUUUUUAAAUUAAUAAUUUAUAGAAUUAGAAAUUUUUACUAUUUGAAGUUUGUUAAAAUUUGUUAUUUAAUUAAAAAUAUUUAUAUAUUAAUUUAAUUUUUUUAUUAAAGUAAAUUUAAUAAUAAAAAUUAUAUUGAAAUAAUGAUAAAAUUAGUAUUAAUUAUUUUGUAAAAAUAUAAGUAAUUACGAAAGGUAUAAUUAAGUAAUUAGGCAAAAAUAUCUUUCACCUGUUUAAUAAAAACAUCUCUUUUUGAUUAUAAUUUAAAGUAGGACCUGCCCACUGAAUAAAAUUUGAAGGGCCGCAGUAUUUUGACUGUGCAAAGGUAGCAUAAUCAUUAGUUUUUUAAUUGAAAGCUUGUAUGAAUGGUUUGAUGAGAAGAUAACUUUCUAAAUUUUAUUAUUUAAAAAUUUUAUUUUUAAGUUAAAAAGCUUAAAUUUUUUUAAAAGACGAGAAGACCCUAUAGAGUUUAAUUUAUAAAAGAUUUUUAAUUUAAAGAAUUAUAAAAUUUAAAAUUUUUAUUAAAUUUGAUUGGGGUGAUAAAAAAAUUAGAUUAACUUUUUUAACUUUAACCAUUAAUUUAUGAAAAAUUGAUCCAUUUUUAUGAUUAAAAGAAUAAAUUACCUUAGGGAUAACAGCGUUAUUUUUUUUUAGAGUUCAAAUCGAAAGAAAAGAUUGCGACCUCGAUGUUGGAUUAAAGUUAAAUUUAGGUGUAGAAGCUUAAAUAUUUGGUCUGUUCGACCAUUAAAACUUUACAUGAUCUGAGUUUAAACCGGUGUAAGCCAGGUUGGUUUCUAUCUUUAAUAAUUUAAUAAAUUUUAGUACGAAAGGACCAAGUUUAUGAUUUAAAAUUUUAUAAAUGAAUAAAAUU